UGGGGAAUUUUGGACAAUGGGGGAAACCCUGAUCCAGCCAUCCCGCGUGUGCGAUGAAGGCCUUCGGGUUGUAAAGCACUUUUGGCAGGAAAGAAACGUCAUGGGUUAAUACCCCGUGAAACUGACGGUACCUGCAGAAUAAGCACCGGCUAACUACGUGCCAGCAGCCGCGGUAAUACGUAGGGUGCAAGCGUUAAUCGGAAUUACUGGGCGUAAAGCGUGCGCAGGCGGUUCGGAAAGAAAGAUGUGAAAUCCCAGAGCUCAACUUUGGAACUGCAUUUUUAACUACCGUGCUAGAGUGGGGCAGAGGGAGGUGGAAUUCCGGGUGUAGCAGUGAAAGGCGUAGAUAUGCGGAGGAACACCGAUGGCGAAGGCAGCCUCAUGGGAUAACACUGACGCUAAUGCACGAAAGCGUGGGGAGCAAACAGG
rnacentral:rRNA from 1 species